rnacentral:rRNA from 1 species
GAAGCUUCUUUCUGUUUACUUACACAUGCAAGUCGAGCGGUAGGCCUUUCGGGGUACACGAGCGGCGAACGGGUGAGUAACACGUGGGUGAUCUGCCCUGCACUUCGGGAUAAGCCUGGGAAACUGGGUCUAAUACCGGAUAUGACCUCAGGUUGCAUGACUUGGGGUGGAAAGAUUUAUCGGUGCAGGAUGGGCCCGCGGCCUAUCAGCUUGUUGGUGGGGUAAUGGCCUACCAAGGCGACGACGGGUAGCCGACCUGAGAGGGUGACCGGCCACACUGGGACUGAGACACGGCCCAGACUCCUACGGGAGGCAGCAGUGGGGAAUAUUGCACAAUGGGCGAAAGCCUGAUGCAGCGACGCCGCGUGAGGGAUGACGGCCUUCGGGUUGUAAACCUCUUUCAGCAGGGACGAAGCGCAAGUGACGGUACCUGCAGAAGAAGCACCGGCUAACUACGUGCCAGCAGCCGCGGUAAUACGUAGGGUGCAAGCGUUGUCCGGAAUUACUGGGCGUAAAGAGUUCGUAGGCGGUUUGUCGCGUCGUUUGUGAAAACCAGCAGCUCAACUGCUGGCUUGCAGGCGAUACGGGCAGACUUGAGUACUGCAGGGGAGACUGGAAUUCCUGGUGUAGCGGUGAAAUGCGCAGAUAUCAGGAGGAACACCGGUGGCGAAGGCGGGUCUCUGGGCAGUAACUGACGCUGAGGAACGAAAGCGUGGGUAGCGAACAGGAUUAGAUACCCUGGUAGUCCACGCCGUAAACGGUGGGCGCUAGGUGUGGGUUCCUUCCACGGAAUCCGUGCCGUAGCUAACGCAUUAAGCGCCCCGCCUGGGGAGUACGGCCGCAAGGCUAAAACUCAAAGGAAUUGACGGGGGGCCCGCACAAGCGGCGGAGCAUGUGGAUUAAUUCGAUGCAACGCGAAGAACCUUACCUGGGUUUGACAUAUACCGGGAAAGCUGCAGAGAUGUGGCCCCCCCUUUGUUGGUCGGGUAUACAGGU